rnacentral:rRNA from 1 species
UCUAAAGGCCAUGCCACCCUGAAUGGGCCCGAUCCCGUCAGAUCUCGGUAGCCGAGCAGUGUUGAGACCAGGGUUAAUACUUGGACGGGAGACUGCCUUAGGAAUACCGUGUGUUACAG